UGGUAGCGUGUCAGACUUCCUUGGCUGGGU
rnacentral:piRNA from 1 species